CACGUAGGGGGCGAGCGUUGUCCGGAUUCAUUGGGCGUAAAGGGCGCGCAGGCGGCCCGGAAAGUCGGAUGUGAAACUCGGGGCUCAACCCCGAGCGUGCACCCGAUACUGCCGGGCUUGAGGCAGGUAGGGGAGAGUCGGAAUUCCUGGUGAGCGGUAGAAAUGCGCAGAUAUCAGGAGGAACACCGGUGGCGAAGGCGGAUCUCUGGGCCUGUCCUGACGCUGAGGCGCGGAAAGCUAGGGGAGCGAACAGG
rnacentral:rRNA from 1 species